CAGCAGAGGGCCCCACCUUCUUUUAAAAUACUCUAAUGGGAGAGAAUGAGGUGUAUUAAUGAAGCAUUAACCAAGAGAAAGUUUGCUUUACUUUCACGGCUAAGGAAAAAAGGAAACAUGUAAGUCACUCAAUUUGUUCAAAUGUAGAAAUAAACACUACCAGUGGAAGCAGGAAGAUUCCUUAAAAAGACUCUGGUGAUGGAGUAUGGUGACAUCUUCUCCCACAGCAGUAUAGAUUUUAAAACAUUUUUUUAAUAAGUUUGUAACUGAUUUUUUUUUUCACUGAAUUAGGCAACUAGGAAAACUUAUUUUCACAAAGAUGUGUAAUAUAUUUUUGCCAUUAUUGUAUAUGUGAUGAUGACUGUUUGGAUAAUUAGAUACUGUAAGCUGUUGGCAUUGUUCUAAUAUCACAAACCUGACCUCCUUGCCCAAACUAUUUUACCAAAACUCUCUUUGUGUUAUGAACUCCUCAGCAGUAAUGCUUGGUGAUGCCACCCUUUUAGAUACUCCUUUUUCAUCACAGGCAUCUAUCUAACACAAGUGACUUCACCAACACUUCUCAGCAUGAAAUUUCUCUGCAGUACCUGAUCUAAAGCCAGCUGUAUUCACUAGUAGUCUCUAUUGACAUCAAAGGGCUUUGCAGGACAUUUCUAGGGCAAACUCAAAAGUAUUGCCUGUCACUUCAGGAAGACAACGUGAGGGAACCGGUCGCAGUCCAGGCUUUCUGGCCAGGCGUGCCCGUGGCAGGCAAGCACGGGUGCACAGCUGUCCCGGACACCAACACAC